rnacentral:lncRNA from 10 species
GAGGGAUUCAAGUUGAACUAGUACUUCAGAGACUGUUUAGUAAUAUCAUGCAUGAAAGGUGAUGGUUAGGACAGAAAAAUAAAUGGAUUGCAUCAUAAUUCCUCAGGUUCUCCAAAUAUGUGGUGGUCUCAAACCAUGUGAAUUGGUCUGCACAUCCUGUUUGGGUUGCGUGUCAGCAGUUGAGAUCUGAGCCUUAUUUGUAACAGUGAAACAGUGAGAGACCUGCCCACUGAAAGCUGUUUUUCAGCUAGGAAUAGAAAAGGGCCAGGCUAGACUCCUCUUUCUGCUGGAUCUUGCUUCUUCUCAGCAAUAGAAGUAGACCUGCCUUCCUAGCUGUAGAGAAAAGGUGCCGGUAGGCGGGCAGGUGAGCCUGUGGAUAAUCCUGGAGUAAAGGUUCAAUAGACCUUCAAGUCUAUCCUACAGGAUUCGGAGUGAGGGGAGAGAAAAGGAGACGCUUCUCUGGCUGAGAGAGGAAGAGAAAAAAAAAUCCCAGAUAUCUGACAGCUAUAUCUUCCCAUCACCACCUUCCUCUAAACCCAUGCCUCUCUGUUUAGUAGGACAUAAAAUGAAGAGUGACCCACCCCCCACCCCCAGCCCAUCCCCCGUUUGUAGGUGUGCUUUCAAUGAAAAUAAGUCGGUGUUCAUGGACGGAAACUAGAGCAGCUGAAAAUAGAUGCAAGACUUGUUGAGCAUACAAAUCAUUUCCCCCUUAGUCUCCAAGGGAGGAAAAAAAAUCCCUCUUACUCUCCUUGCAGCCUGUGUUCUGCAUUCUGGAGAGGAAGCUGAGGCUGGUCCUCAGGCGCUCCUCCCGCCGUUCCCGCAGGAAACUUUUCUCGCAGGGCCCGCUCCGUCCAUCCCGCGCGGUUCCAAGACGGUGGGCCUCCCGUGGGCUCCUCUCCUGGGCAAGGGCCCAGACCCCGCGACGCGCCUGUCUCUUUAAAUUCCAGCUGCGCGGCUGGGAAACAGCGCCACUCGCCGCCCAGGCCGGCUGGAGGCUGAGAGCGAGCUCGCGCUUUCGCUCCCGGCUGCGCGCCGCGGAGAGCUGGGCUCGGCCCGCGGGCUGCUAGGUGGCGGCGGCGCGGGGCGGGGAGGCGCGGCCCGGCGGAGGAGGGAAGAAAGAGCGAGCCGGGCCGGGAGAGGCGCCGCGCCCGGUCCCGCGCCCGGUCCCGCACCCGCUCUCAGCGGCCCAAGCAGUUUCUUUCUGGGUGACAAGAAUGUGCCUCGGUUGGUUUUUCUUUUUUUUCUCCAUCUCCUUAAGACGAUUUCCAUAGUAACCUGAUCAAGUGGCUCAAAAUCGCAAACCUGAGGAUUUCCGCGGCCCGCCGGCAAGACCUCGGCCAGGUUUACAGGAAAUCUGUCAUUUUUUAUUAAAAUGGAAAACUGUGAAGAAAGAAAAAGAUAGCAGUUGAAGUCAAAAUUCUCGGAUGACUAUUUUGCUUUUGAGGAGUCAGCAUUUAAAAACGAUAUGCUGAUUUGGAAGGUCCUGGGAGUAAACUGCAAACUUUAUUUUUUCCAUUCAAUCAAUGGAUUUUUUAAUCAUUCCUUGGAGUCGAUGAAGUUCGGAAACGGUGUGUGAUGGGGAACGUGGCGGGCCAGUGUGUUCCUAGAAAUUGCAUCUUGGAUUAGUUUGCUGCUUUUUUGAAGAGAUUCCAUUUUGAAGGGCAAGAACCUAAUGUGAUGGAUUUAUCUUCAGAAAUGAACAGACAUGGGAAGAAUCCAGUGAGUCACAAGCUAGAAGAUCAGAAGAAGGUCUCAAAACGGUGUGGUUCUUUUAAG